UACGGGGGGGGCAAGCGUUGUUCGGAUUCAUUGGGCGUAAAGGGUGCGUAGGCGGCGCGGUAAGUCGGGGGUGAAAGUCAAGGGCUCAACCCUUGGAUGCCGGUGGAUACUGCAGGGCUAGAGUCCGGAAGAGGCGAGUGGAAUUCCUGGUGUAGCGGUGAAAUGCGCAGAUAUCAGGAGGAACACCGAUGGCGAAGGCAGGUCUCUGGGCCACUACUGACGCUGAGAAGCGAAAGCAUGGGGAGCGAACAGG
rnacentral:rRNA from 1 species